GUGGGGAAUAUUGGACAAUGGGCGCAAGCCUGAUCCAGCCAUGCCGCGUGAGUGAUGAAGGCCCUAGGGUUGUAAAGCUCUUUCAGCGAGGAGGAUAAUGACGUUACUCGCAGAAGAAGCCCCGGCUAACUUCGUGCCAGCAGCCGCGGUAAUACGAAGGGGGCUAGCGUUGUUCGGAAUCACUGGGCGUAAAGGGCACGUAGGCGGACUUUUAAGUCAGGGGUGAAAUCCCGGGGCUCAACCUCGGAACUGCCUUUGAUACUGGAAGUCUUGAGGCCGAGAGAGGUGAGUGGAAUUCCGAGUGUAGAGGUGAAAUUCGUAGAUAUUCGGAAGAACACCAGUGGCGAAGGCGGCUCACUGGCUCGGUACUGACGCUGAGGUGCGAAAGCGUGGGGAGCAAACAGGAUUAGAAACCCCAGUAGUCC
rnacentral:rRNA from 1 species